GGGAGGUUUCGCUGACAGCUGGAAUGCCCUAACACGAUACUACUUGAGCAAUUUUGUCGGUAGUACUAAAUAGGUACUUAUGCUUCUUACCAGCAUUUAGUUGUUACCUAGUUUUGUACAUUAUAUGAAGUUGGUAGCGUUCUUUAUGCUCUGUCACUUGCAACUUUCAUACUACUCUGCCAGUAGAAAUUUUGGAAAGCAUUCUUUAAGUAGUACUAAGCUUCAUGUAUGCGAGCCAUCAACGAAGUAUUAACUAAACCUAGUAUUAUCAUUUGUAGUGUGCUGCCAUUUUUUUGGAUUAGUUUCUUGUUGACUACUAGGAGAUACUCCCUCUGUUUCAAUUUGUUUGUUUGAUUUUGACUUAACACGGAG
rnacentral:misc_RNA from 1 species